GACGGGGGAUGCAAGUGUUAUCCGGAAUAAUUGGGCGUAAAGCGUCUGUAGGUGGUUUACCAAGUCUGUUGUUAAAAAUCAGGCUUAACCCUGAUCCGGCAACAGAAACUAGUAGCUGGAGUACGGUAGGGGCAGAGGGAAUUCUCGGUGUAGUGUGAAAUACGUAGAUAUCGAGAAGAACACCAAUAAGCGAAAAGCACUCUGCUGG
rnacentral:rRNA from 1 species